CUCAUCCAUCCAUCUAUCAUCCAUCACCCAGACUAGAGUAGACACUUGUUGCGGCAUAAAACCAAAGUGUGUUAUUUCACUGUUUCCAGUCACAAACCUUCUCUGACCUCCGAUCAAUGGUUUUCUGAGGCAGCAGCAACAUGUGACCCAUCAAAAACCAGUGAACACAUCACAUCCGCAAACACGCGGCUUUCUGUUCCCACCAGCCGACCCCGACUGUUCCUCUGACCCUGGACACACAUCUACACAAUGUGAUGACAUACUGUGACGGGGCAACAAGUGGCUUGUGCUAAAGGUCUGGGAACUAAAAACAACAACAACUCAGCCAAGUUUGGGAGGAAAAACUCUCCGGAGACGGUUGGAAAACACACAAAAUGGAAGAUUUACAACCCGGAGAGAGGAACACAUGCUGAGAAGUGAAUAAAGAGAGAAAAUCCAAGAAAUGGGAGGAGGAGGACGAAUAAGAUGGAGAGAAGGAGGAAAGGAGACGUAUUGUGCACCACAAUGAAGGACAAAUGAGAGCGAACAGGAUGAGGAGGACGACGAGAGGAGGACGGAAAAAAGAAAGUGUAAAUAAUCCCCGCAGGUAAAGAGACAAUGAGAAGGACGGGAAUCACGGGUCAGGCGGAGGAAGACGAUCAGCGGGACGCACCACUUGCAGACUUCUGCUACGAGGAGUGACACAGCAAAAAAAGGGCGUCCACUUCCCUAAACUGCUUCAACAAGCUGCUGCUUCACAAACAACACUGACUCAGCGACAACGCAACAUUUCAAUCAGG